UACGGAGGGUGCGAGCGUUGUCCGGAAUCAUUGGGCGUAAAGGGCUCGUAGGCGGUCUGUCGCGUCGGGAGUGAAAACUCAGGGCUUAACCCUGAGCCUGCUUCCGAUACGGGCAGACUAGAGGUAUGCAGGGGAGAACGGAAUUCCUGGUGUAGCGGUGGAAUGCGCAGAUAUCAGGAGGAACACCGGUGGCGAAGGCGGUUCUCUGGGCAUUACCUGACGCUGAGGAGCGAAAGUGUGGGGAGCGAACAGG
rnacentral:rRNA from 1 species